CAGCCGCCGCGGUAAUACGAAGGGGGCUAGCGUUGUUCGGAAUUACUGGGCGUAAAGCGCACGUAGGCGGAUUUUUAAGUCAGGGGUGAAAUCCCGAGGCUCAACCUCGGAACUGCCUUUGAUACUGGAGAUCUUGAGUUCGGAAGAGGUUGGUGGAACAGCUAGUGUAGAGGUGAAAUUCGUAGAUAUUAGCUAGAACACCAGUGGCGAAGGCGGCCAACUGGUCCGAUACUGACGCUGAGAUGCGAAAGCGUGGGGAGCAAACAGGAUUAGAUACCCCUGUAGUCCCUGUCUCUUAUAC
rnacentral:rRNA from 1 species